CCGCCCGCCCAUCCCGUCCCCGCCGUCCGGCGGCAGCAGCAGGCUGAGGGCCGAGCGGCACAGCCGCCAGAAGUCGGUGCAGUAGUCGGCGCACAGCCCCGGUAGCUGGCGGACCGGCGUGUUGGCGUCCUCCGCGUCGUACAGCUGUUGCCCAACCUGCUGAGUACUCCCGGUGCUUUGUUUCUACAGAGUCAUACAGCACGGAAACAGGCCCUUCGGCCCAACUUGUCCAUGUCGACCAGGGAGUCUUCCUGAGCUGGUCCCAUUGGCCUGUGUUUGGCCCAUUAUCUCUCCUUUAUUUCAGAUUUCCACCACCUGCAGUUAUUUGAUUUUCAAUGAUUGAAUCAGGGUGGUUACUGUUCAGUAAGAGGCCGUUCAGCCUAUUUGGUCCAUGCUGGCUCCCACUGCAGCAAAACCAUUCCCCCCCCCUUUCCUGCAUCCCUGCAAUUAUUCUCUCUGCAGUCCCUUCUGACAGUCCUACUUGAUUCUGUUUUCACCAUCCCACACAGAGUUUCAGAACACAGCCUUACCUUGCUGAAUAACAGAGUGCAAUCACACUAAUUAACCCUUACCCUGCUCAAAAACAGACUCUGUACACAUUGAUUAACCCUUACCCUGCUGAAUGUCUCUGUACAGUCACACUGUGAUUAACCCCUGGCAUCCUGAACAAGUUUCUACGUGGAAGUCCACAAUUCUCAAAAAGGGUACCUGAUCCAUUUUGUCCUGUUGUUAUUAACCCUUGCUGCGCUGAAUAGACAGUUGUUUAAUUCUUUUCAAUUCUAAAGACUGUCUUGCUAAUUAUUACAGAUGUUUAUGGUGUGUUUCUGUCUCAAUUUUUGUUCUGUUUUUAUUAACAUGAAACAGGCUGUAAAGAGUUAAUUUUAGUGUUCUCAAUAGAUGAUUCAUUUCUGGAAAUGUAAGAUAAUUAAUAAAAACCCUCAAAAAUG